UACAGAGGUCUCAAGCGUUGUUCGGAUUCAUUGGGCGUAAAGGGUGCGUAAGCGGCGCGGUAAGUCGGGUGUGAAAUCUCGGAGCUUAACUCCGAAACUGCAUUCGAUACUGCCGUGCUUGAGGACUGGAGAGGAGACUGGAAUUUACGGUGUAGCGGUGAAAUGCGUAGAUAUCGUAAGGAAGACCAGUGGCGAAGGCGGGUCUCUGGACAGUUCCUGACGCUGAGGCACGAAGGUCAGGGGAGCAAACGGG
rnacentral:rRNA from 1 species